AAUCAACGCUGGCGGCGUGCCUAACACAUGCAAGUCGAACGCGAAAGCCCCGCAAGGGGCAAGUAGAGUGGCAAACGGGUGAGUAACACGUGGGUGACCUGCCUUCGAGCGGGGGAUAACGUCCCGAAAGGGACGCUAAUACCGCAUAACAUCCUGCCUUUGAAGAGGUGGAGAUCAAAGCUGGGGAUCGCAAGACCCGGCACUUGAAGAGGGGCCCGCGUCUGAUUAGCUAGUUGGUGGGGUAACGGCCUACCAAGGCAACGAUCAGUAUCCGGCCUGAGAGGGCGGACGGACACACUGGGACUGAGACACGGCCCAGACUCCUACGGGAGGCAGCAGUGGGGAAUUGUUCGCAAUGGGCGCAAGCCUGACGACGCAACGCCGCGUGGAGGAUGAAGAUUUUCGGAUCGUAAACUCCUGUCGAAUGGGACGAAUAGGUUGCGGGUUAACAGCCUGUAAUCCUGACGGUACCGUUAAAGGAA
rnacentral:rRNA from 1 species